GACGAACGCUGGCGGCGUGCUUAACACAUGCAAGUCGAGCGGUAAGGCCCGAGCUUGCUGGGGUACACGUUUGGCGCACGGGUGAGUAACACGCGGGUGACCUGCCCCUCACUUCGUGAUAAGCCUUGGGAACUGCGGCUCUUACCGGAUACGACCGCAUCGUGCGGAUGUGGUGGAAGGUUGUUCGGUGUGGGCUGUGUCCGCGGGCUAUCAGCUCGUUGGUGGGGUAAUGGCCUACGAAGGCGGCGACGGGUAGCCGGCCUGCGAGGGUGGACGGCCACAUGGGGACUGAGACACGGACCAGACGCCUACGGGAGGCAGCAGGGGGGAAUAUUGCACAAUGGGCGGAAGCCUGAUGCAGCGACGCCGCGUGGGGGAUGACGGCCUUCGGGUGGUAAACUCCUUUCACCAUCGACGAAGGUUUUCUGACGGUAGAUGGAGAAGAAGCACCGGCUAACUACGUG
rnacentral:rRNA from 1 species